rnacentral:rRNA from 1 species
CCUACGGGAGGCAGCAGUGGGGAAUAUUGGACAAUGGGCGAAAGCCUGAUCCAGCAAUGCCGCGUGAGUGAAGAAGGCCUUCGGGUUGUAAAGCUCUUUUACCCGGGAAGAUAAUGACUGUACCGGGAGAAUAAGCCCCGGCUAACUCCGUGCCAGCAGCCGCGGUAAUACGGAGGGGGCUAGCGUUGUUCGGAAUUACUGGGCGUAAAGCGUACGUAGGCGGCUUUGUAAGUCAGAGGUGAAAGCCCACGACUCAAUCGUGGAACUGCCUUUGAGACUGCUUCGCUUGAAGAUGGGAGAGGUUAGUGGAAUUCCGAGUGUAGAGGUGAAAUUCGUAGAUAUUCGGAAGAACACCAGUGGCGAAGGCGGCUAACUGGACCAUUCUUGACGCUGAGGUACGAAAGCGUGGGGAGCGAAACAGGAUUAGAUACCCUGGUAGUCCACGCCGUAAACGAUGAUAACUAGCUGUCGGGGCUCUUGGAGCUUCGGUGGCGCAGCUAACGCAUUAAGUUAUCCGCCUGGGGAGUACGGCCGCAGGUUAAACUCAAAUGAAUUGACGG